rnacentral:rRNA from 1 species
AUUGAACGCUGGCGGCAUGCCUUACACAUGCAAGUCGAACGGCAGCACGGGAGCAAUCCUGGUGGCGAGUGGCGAACGGGUGAGUAAUAUAUCGGAACGUACCCUGGAGUGGGGAUAACGUAGCGAAAGCUACGCUAAUACCGCAUACGAUCUAUGGAUGAAAGCGGGGGAUCGCAAGACCUCGCGCGAUUGGAGCGGCCGAUAUCAGAUUAGGUAGUUGGUGAGGUAAAGGCUCACCAAGCCGACGAUCUGUAGCUGGUCUGAGGGGGACGACCAGCCACACUGGGACUGAGACACGGCCCAGACUCCUACGGGAGGCAGCAGUGGGGAA